UUCUAUUUUUCCUCAGUAGUGAGCAUUCAAAAAUAGGCCAAAAAAAAAUAAAAAAAUACUAGGGUAAACCCUCACAGGUGCAGAUAUAAGCUGCCUGGACUGGUUACAUAGAAUGGCAACAUUUGUAUACAAAAGGUGUGCUUACACUGCUUUGCAUUCACAUCAGUGUGUGGCUCUGAAGGUUUACUGUGAAAUUAGUAAGAGAGUGUAUUUAGUAUGUGCCUUAAUCUGUUUAUGUUGACUGUGUGUGACCCUGUGGUUGGUUUAUGGGAUUAGACUGAGUAUCAUUCUGUGCAUGUGUGUGUGUGUGUGUGUGUGUGUGUGUGACGUGGACGAAGUAAGUAGGCGUGAGGGGCGGUGGUCUGAUGUUGCUAGGCAUAAGACAGACCUGGUGACGGCAGACAGGAGGGAGGUGGACAAGAGCACAAGGCCGCAGACUGGCGGAGCAGUACCAGGCUGCGUUCUAUGAAUGCAGUGCUAAGAGUGGACAGCAGGUGGAGGAGGCCAUGACCCACCUGACCAGGUGUAAAACUGGAUCAAAGAUAUUUCAUAUUCAGCGAUCACUAGUGAAAUGUCUUUUUCCAAUGCAGUAAAUAAUAAUAUAUAAUAUAAUAGAGUAAAAUGAUAUUCCUGAAGUGGCCAUUCCAAUAGAAAAAAUGCUUUCUGCAGCAGCGGGAAAAAAUGUGUAAGCAUUUUAAAAUAUUUAUCUGAAUGUGCCAAUUAACAUUUAUUUUUAAACCGUUAUUUGAAUACUAUCAGCCAAUCACUGUGUGCAUAGUUAAUGAGCAUGCUGACAUCAUCCAUAGCAACACGCUCAGCCCCGCCCCCUUACUCUGAGCUCAAGACUUCUCUCUGUUCCUCAGUAAAAGUUUGUCUCAGCAGCUUUGUGAACAGCUUUGAAGAGAAAACUUUUACUGCUAUUUAGGAGAACUCUUAGUGCUAAGAUCAAAUGUUUCGUGAAUAUGGGCCCUGGUCAAAGAUUUAUAAUAUUUGAAACAAGUCUCUUCUGCUCAACAAGUAACAGUAAUAUUGAGAAAUAUU
rnacentral:lncRNA from 1 species